CGGCGGACGGGUGAGUAACGCGUGGGUAACCUGCCCUAUACAGGGGGAUAACAGCUAGAAAUGGCUGCUAAUACCGCAUGAGCGCACAGCUCCGCAUGGAGCGGUGUGAAAAACUCCGGUGGUAUAGGAUGGACCCGCGUCCGAUUAGCUAGUUGGUGGGGUAAAGGCCCACCAAGGCGACGAUCGGUAGCCGACCUGAGAGGGUGACCGGCCACAUUGGGACUGAGACACGGCCCAAACUCCUACGGAAGGCAGCAG
rnacentral:rRNA from 1 species